CUGAGAUCCCAGGCCCUCUCGGUCAUGAUGCAGUUUCGAUGUACGGAUCUUCAUUUCCUCUCCUAAACCUCUAGUUAACAAAUCUUUAGUUGGUUUAUUAGAGGAUUGGCUACAGGUGCUGUCUUUGUGGAGAGAGAUAAGGUACAACUGACCUGGGGAGAUUGCCACUGAGGAAUGGUGAAAAUCGGGCAAACUGCAAAAAGUUUCAGAGUAACAGCCGUGUUAGUCUGUAUCCGCAAAAAGAAGAACAGGAGUACUUGUGGCACCUUAGAGACUAACAAAUUUAUUAGAACAUAAGCUUUCGUGGACUACAGCCCACUUCUUCGGAUGCAUAUAGAAUACAGAAAAACUUCAAAAACAGACUCCAAAGAGAGACUGCUGAGCUAGAAUUGAUAUGCAAACUAGACACAAUCAACUCCGGUUUGAAUAAGGACUGGGAAUGGCUGAGCCAUUACAAACAUUGACUCUAUCUCCCUGUGACAUUGUGCAGUCUAUAUGGUUUUAUAAAAACUUGAUAAUAAGUCAAUAUAAUGUAACUGAGCUGGUUUUAGAGAAAAUACGGUAAUAAGUGAAUGUAACGUAACUGGGAUAUGCUUCAUGCAAAAGGUCUCUUGUAAGGUAUCAUUACAAAGCUUAUAAUCUACUGAGUAUGAUCAUCUGAUUUGUAUAAAUGUACCACUCUUGUAUCUAAAACUAGAAAUAUAAAAUGUAACUCUGAGGGCCUAUUGUAAUUGUGUAAAGUGUGGACCAUUAAUGAUGGUUUGGAAUCUUGAUGACUCCCAUUGUCUGCAGAUGGCUGUAUUUACCUGUGAGUCUUCCUGUAUAUGUGUGUGCUGGCAAGUGAGUAAUGAAGUCUUGCAGUGACAUGUGAUCAUGUCACCUGAACUGGAAUCCAUCUUUAACCUGGUGCUUUUCCAGUGAGGGGGGGUGGAAACCCAGAGAGACAAAGAGUUCCCGCCUUAUGCAAAAGAUAUAUAAAGGGGGGAAGAGAAGAGAGAGGGAGAGGAGCCAUCAUGAAGAAUCCCCUAGCUACCACCUGAGCUGCAACAAGAGCUGUACCGGGGGAAAGGAUUGUGCCCAGGCCUGGAAGAUGUCCAGCCUGAGAAAAACUUACUGAAGCAUCUCUGAGGGUGAGAUUAUCUGUAUUCAGUUUGAUUAGGCAUAGAUUUGCGCAUUUUAUUUUAUUUUGCUUGGUGACUUACUUUGUUCUGUCUGUUACUACUUUGAACCACUUAAAUCCUACUGUCUGUAUUUAAUAAAAUCACUUUCUAUUUA